GACGAACGCUGGCGGCGUGCCUAAUACAUGCAAGUAGAACGCUGAAGGAGGAGCUUGCUUCUCUGGAUGAGUUGCGAACGGGUGAGUAACGCGUAGGUAACCUGCCUGGUAGUGGGGGAUAACUAUUGGAAACGAUAGCUAAUACCGCAUAAUAGCAGUUGUUGCAUGAUAACUGUUUGAAAGGUGCAAUUGCACCGCUACCAGAUGGACCUGCGUUGUAUUAGCUAGUUGGUGGGGUAACGGCUCACCAAGGCGACGAUACAUAGCCGACCUGAGAGGGUGAUCGGCCACACUGGGACUGAGACACGGCCCAGACUCCUACGGGAGGCAGCAGUAGGGAAUCUUCGGCAAUGGACGGAAGUCUGACCGAGCAACGCCGCGUGAGUGAAGAAGGUUUUCGGAUCGUAAAGCUCUGUUGUAAGAGAAGAACGAGUGUGAGAGUGGAAAGUUCACACUGUGACGGUAUCUUACGAGAAAGGGACGGCUAACUACGUG
rnacentral:rRNA from 1 species